CUUAUAGCUUAAAACUCAAAGGACUUGGCGGUGUCCCAUACCCCACUAGAGGAGCCUGUUCUAUAAGCGAUAAUCCACGAUCAACCUUACCACCCCUUGCCAUUCAGCCUAUAUACCGCCGUCUCCAGCUUACCUUGUGAAAGCCUAAAAGUAAGCAAAAUAGCUCUUACAGCUAAAAAGUCAGGUCCAGGUGUAGCCGAUGGGGUGGAUGCAAUGGGCUACAUUUUCUAAAAUAGAAAUAUUCACGGACAGACCAUUGAAAUAUGGACUGACANGUCGGAUUUAGCANUAAUCUAGGANUAGAAA
rnacentral:rRNA from 1 species